rnacentral:rRNA from 1 species
CCUACGGGAGGCAGCAGUGGGGAAUAUUGCACAAUGGGGGAAACCCUGAUGCAGCGACGCCGCGUGAGUGAAGAAGUAAUUCGUUAUGUAAAGCCCUAUCAGCAGGGAAGAAAAUGACGGUACUUGAGAACGAAGCCCCGGCUAACUACGUGCCAGCAGCCGCGGUAAUACGGAGGGGGCAAGCGUUAUCCGGAUUUACUGGGGGGAAAGGGAGCGUAGACGGCAGUGCAAGUCUGGAGUGAAAGGCGGGGGCUCAACCCCCGGACUGCUCUGGAAACUGUACGGCUGGAGUGCAGGAGAGGUAAGUGGAAUUCCUGGUGUAGCGGUGAAAUGCGUAGAUAUUAGGAGGAACACCAGUGGCGAAGGCGGCUUACUGGACUGAAACUGACGUUGAGGCUCGAAAGCGUGGGGAGCAAACAGGAUUAGAUACCCCUGUAGUC